rnacentral:rRNA from 1 species
CGUCGUAGACCACGACGUUGAUAGGUUGGAUGUGUAAGUGCAGUAAUGUAUUUAGCAAACCAGCACUAAUCGGUCGAGUGACUUCAUUUA